CCCGGCCCCUGAACCACUUCUUGAAGAAGCACUUGAACAAGAAGGUCCAAAGAAGCCAUGCUCUAAAUCUGCUAAGGAAUUAUGACCACAAUAUUAUUGCCACUUCUUCAUAUAAACAGAGGGCAUGCCAAUAUUAUUACCAAAAUGGCGGAGGUAUUCGGCGGUGGCGGGGAGGCGUUGCGGUUGAGAAUUGGAGCUGAGCGCGCCAUUGUUUACAUCGACAGAGCCUCUGUAGGGAUUUGAAGGAGAUAGGACUCGACCUUGGCUGCGAUUUUUCAUCUCCGCUGUGCAGGUCAGUCCAGACCUCUAUGGUGACAGCAACACGAUGUCAAUAUACUUGUCUGGAAGGUAAAAUCAUAUUAGUUGCUACUUCCAGUUAGGUUUUUAUUUGGACUGCAACUUGGUGAGGCACAAGAAGUUGUUAUGGGUUAUUUAGUACUAUGGACUGAACCCUUGCUUUUAGGACAACUUGGUGAGGCACAAGGAAGUUAUUAUGGGUUUAGUUCAGUUCAUAGGGCUGUGAGUCUUGUGAAUUUCUGCAGUAAUUACUUUCUGGAGCUCUCUCGCCUUCAUCUUUUACAGUUAGGAAGUCCUUUCUCUUUAACCCACACUGGGUGGUCAGAACUGAGUGGGAAAAGUUUGUGGUUAAAACAUAUAUGUAAGAUUUGUGUUGGUACUUCUUUGAGACCUAUUUUGUUAUUUCAGUUCAAAGUUUGUGGUUACGUUUUGGUUGGACAUGAAUAGCUAGUACUUUGA